rnacentral:lncRNA from 1 species
GUCCCAGGUGCAGAUCGUUUUGUAGUAAUCUUCUUUAGUCCAGUGGUUUGUUUUAGGGCCUACGAUGUUCUCGGAACUCUUAGUAUUUGCAACCUAUCUCAUUUAGUGAAUGUUUGAACGAUAUACCCCGGGAACUGACCAUCUUUUUUAUUUGAGACUUAGAUUGCCUUGUUUUAAAGUUAUUAUAUUUUGUUACUAAUUUUCCACCAUUUGAAACCUGACAUUAGAUUUAUUGUCGUUCUUGAUUCUAUCUGUUGCCUUCAUCAAAAAAAAGUUCAACUUGGACAAACCCGUUGAUUGUGUAUGGUCACGUAUCGUAAGCAAGAGUUCAUUAUAUUUUGCAGGCCUAUACGUGCAGUCAUUAUACUUGCCCUAUCUGCUGCAAGUCCCUAGGGGAUAUGGUGGUAAGCAGAUUUUAUGGAUCUGGUCAAUCUUGAGAUUAUUGUAUGGUUUGAUCCUUGUUCGAAGCAUUUAUUGUUCAUAUAAGAACUAUUGUCUGAAAAUGCUUGUGACUACCUUUAUUAUUACUUCUACCCUGUAAUUUUGUGAUUUCCAGUUUUCUUUUAUCAAGUUGUAAAUAUCUUAUCAUUCCUUUUGUCUGCGAUUGUCUAAUUAUAUCUGUCUGAUUUUGCAGAUUUAUUUUGGUAUGCUCGAUGCUUUAUUGGCAUCUGAGCAGCUUCCUGAUGAGUAUAGAAGUAGAAAUCAGGUAUACAUUUUGGCCAUGACCUAUGAAUGAUAGUAGUGUCACCUGACAGUCACGUUCAUAGUUCGUAACAUGAAUGUCAACCCUCAGCACAUUGAAUUUCUGUCAAACUGUUGAAAAUCACUUUUGAUCAUAUCAUAUUAAGCAAAUUUUUGAGAGCAAUUUUCUGAUCCUGAAGCGUUUCAUUGGAUGUAUUGAUUCUAUGCAGGAAAUCCUAUGUAACGAUUGUGAGCAAAAAGCAACUGCACCUUUUCACUGGUUAUAUCACAAAUGUGGAGGAUGUGGCUCUUAUAACACCCGUGCUAUAUAAUGUAACACUCCAAAGCUCGUAUCAAGUUAUUAUCUUUUAUCAAAAUUUGCAAAGAAGCUGUUCCGUUUCUGUAUGCUCAGCGACUCACAUAUUUUGGCAUCACCAUUUACAAUUUAAAAAAAAUUAACAUCAUUGGAUAAUCUAUUUGGCUAUUCAAAUACUAAAAUAAGAUUGGUUAGGUUGCAAGUGGGCAUUUGAGGUUGUAAUUGAUGAUCCUUUCGUUGUCUUGAUUUAUUUAACUUUCGUGAGGAGAACGAACAUUAGACUGAAGAAACAUUCGGUAGAGAAUGCGCAGGUUUGAAAGGUAGCACGUUGUAUUCCCCUAAGAAAACACUUUACAAAAUGUUAGUUUCAGGUACUCAUGUGUAUCAACUUAUAUCUUCUAUUUCAAACGUUCUGGUAGUGGUUGCUUGGGGUACAAGGGGAUGCCUUCUGUAAGUACCAAGUUGGCAAUGUUUGAUCCUGAUGAUGCCUGAAAAUCUUUCUGUGUUUAACUAUAUUUUUGUUGUGCUGUUCCCAGUGGGUUUCCGGUUAAAUUGUUGUUGCGCAAUUCCAUUUACGAAGACAUCAGCCACUUUUAACUUCUGUGUGCUCAAAGGUGUUGCGCUUUGCUCAAUAAAUGUAAUAGUAGACCAGGAAUAUGUGGGUUGUGUCUGUCAUCAUAUCGAGGCUUCGGACGUUGUAAAAUGGUGGGGAAACACUGCACCCAGUGUUUUAUUUUCUGCACAAAAUGACUUAUUCUGCAACUUUAUUGGUAUAUCGACGUCUAAACUUUCUCAGUUGAAUUGAUAUCGCUUGUUAUUUGGUUGAAAGUGGUGUUAUUUUCUUGCAUAGUUGUAACAUUGAGCAGUAAAUAUGAGAUCGCUUCUUGCCGAUGUGUUGCUCUUGAACUAGUAAUGGUGAAUGGUGCUGAUAUUAUUCUUCUUAAGGAGCAAUAACUUUGGAGUGUUCUAAUAUUUUCAAAAGUUUAUUGGAUCUUUAAGGUACUCUGAUGAGUUUAAAUUAGUUUAAUAUUUUAAAAUAUAAAUGCACAAGAUAAUUCAAUACAUGUGCAAUUUCAAGUCACAUUUUUCAUGCUAAGCAUGCAAUUUAUAUUUGUAAUAUUUGAAUAAAUGAAUAAAAGUGUAAUCUCUACUGCAUGUGAGAACAUGAUAAAUAGAGAUAAGGUUAUUAUAUCUUCUCUUUGAUAAUGGGUUUUACAUUUAGAUUUCGGCUUUCUUCACUCUGAUAAAUGGGGCUAGAAUUGCAACAAUGAUGUCAUUUUGUAUAUAUAUAUAUAUAUAUUUAUUGUAUGUUAGAUAUUGAUUAACAUUGCAAGGUAUAUUAGAUUUUUAAGUAAUAGCUUUUAGAAAAUUUUAUGUGAAGUUUAAUUUGUAUGAUAUUGUUUGUGGAUUUUAUUUCAAAUUAAUUAGAUUUUGUAUACCUAGUGGUCUGUUUGGGUUUGCAACAAUCUACCCUGACCAAUGGAAAUGAGAUGUUUGGUAGUCAAUGUAGAGCAAAAGGAUUGUAUUGUCAACAUUGGGCAACAAAAGUGCAUGGGUUGUUAAAAUCAUAUUCAACAUUCAAAGUCCAUAGUCUAUGUGCCAACUUUACUUAAAGAUUUCUUGUCACUAUCAAAAUCCUAAAUUUAUUUUUCUAAUAUAUUAAGCUCUUAAACUGAGAAUAAAAUAAACAUUAAAUAUUUAUUUAUAAAAAAGAUACCAUAAAUAACUAAAGUUUAGAAAAACUUAUUUGAAUGAAAUAUUUAAAUUUUUGGAAUAUUAGGAUUUUUUAACAUGUAUGUAAAAACAUCAACUUUAUUAAUUUAAGCAUGUUUGCUAAAAUAUCUACAUUUUAAAAUAACAGUAAGUAAAAUAAAUACCAAAGUUUAACUAGAAAUUUAUAAUAUUUAAAAUAUUGAAAAAAUAUCUAAAGAAGAUUUUUUUAAUAAGAUAAUUUUUUAUAUUUACAAUCUCAAUUAUAUAUACAUAUGUGUUAUUAGAAAGAAUGUUGAUAAUUAAAAUUCUUUACAUAAAAAAAAAUUAAUUUUGAUUAUAUAUCUAAUUAUCUAAAUACUAUUCAACACAUUUAUAGUUUUAUAAAUGAAAUAUUUUUAACUAUGAUAUAAAGUAUUCAAAAAUAGAAAAAAAUAGUUCUGUGCUUGCUUUAAAUAUUCUUUGAUGAUGAUUUAAAAGUUGGAAUCAAUUAUUAGAUAAAAUAUUAUUAUUUUUAUUAUUAUAUAUAUUAUUUUUUGAAUAUAUGCACUUUGAGUUUUUGUAAUAACUUUAAAUUGUAUAUAAAUAUAAUUACAUAAGUAUAAAUAAAUAAAUAAAAUAUAUAUAUAUAUAUAUAUAUAUAUAUAUUUUUGAAUUUGAAUUUGUUAUAAUCUAUAAGCUUUAAAAUCUUCUAUAAUAUUAUAAUUUAUUUAUGAGUUUUUUAAGAUUUACUAACAAAUAAAACUACACCAACUAUAAAAUUUAGAAUUUGAUCAUCUUGAAUCAAUAAUUCUCUUUUUAAAAAUACACAGUAAUAUUUUUUUUAAAGGAAUUGUAAACUAAUUAUUAAAAUAUAAAUAAUUUUCAGUUUUAUAUUUAAAAGUAAUAAUCAAAAUAACAUUAAUUUAAUUUAUUUUUAAUUAUUUAAAAUACUCUAGUAUUUAUAUUUUAUGUUUUUCUUUUUUUCUUUUUCUAAAAAUAAUUAACUUCUUAAUUUUGUAAAAAAGAAAGCCCAAUAGAGAUUCUUAUAAACUUGUGGUACAAUUCUUUGAGGCUCUAUAGUAAACUAUAGAACGUCUUCAGGAAGAUUCAUAUCGCUUUUAAGAUGUUCUACAAGCAUCUUAAAAGUACCCCAAAUUGGGCUUUCUUGUUGAGAGUUUUCUUGCAAGAUCUACAGAAUAGGCCGUGUUGACUCUUCUUUACUGCAAGUCAAUAAUAAGGGAAGAAAUACUGAUUCUAAGCAUAAUCUAGGAUUCCAUUUGUACCACUUGAUUACAACUCAGAAGCAACUAAUGAGGUUCUUGAUCUCUUAGCAAAGGUGUUCCCUAACGAAGACAUAAGAAGAUACUUUAUGAGGUUCAUCUCAUCAUGUUUAGAAGGAAGAAAUGCGAACAAGAUAUUUUCUAUAUGGUCAGGAUCUGGAGACAACGGAAAGACUGUCAUGGUUUCUCUAGUUGAACGAGCGUUUGGAGACUAUGCAGUGAAGAUGCCAACAUCAUUGCUUAUGGGAAAGAGAGUACAAUCAUCAGCAGCUACUCCCGAGCUAGCAAUGCUUAAAGGAAGACUUAUAGCUCUCGUUCAAGAGCCUGAUGAAGGUGACAAACUUAACCUUGGUGUUAUGAAGGAGCUUACAGGAAAUGAUAGUCUCUAUAUUAGAGGAUUGUACGAAGAAGGAGCUAUCAUACCUCAGACAGCAAAGUUUGUACUCAUUGCCAACAGGAUCCUACAGAUGAGUACGUUUGAUAAAGCAGUGUGGAGUAGAGUUAGAGUAAUGCCAUUCGUAUCAACGUUUGUUGAUAAGAUAGAACCAUCUCACAAUCCUCUUACAACACACUUGAAGGAUAUUAACUUCUCCAACAAGAUUCCUUUGCUUGCUCCUGUAUUCAUGAGAUUAGUAAUAGAAGAGUACAAGCAAUAUCUAACUUAUGGUCUUGAAGAGCCUGACGAAGUUAAGGACUGCACUGAGACAAUUCGUGUGUCUAAUGAUAUCUUUGGGCAGUUCUUGAGCGCUAAUGUUGAGAAGAGCAACAAGAGUAUAGUUGCUAUAAAGGAGCUGUAUGAUACCUACAAGUACUGGUCAAAGGAUAUGUUCCCAACAAUGAAAGUAAAAGAUAUAUCGUCUCUACGACAAUAUCUAGUUAGGAACUCGUAUACUAUAGAUGCUGUAGAUCAGAUUCAAGGAUUAUCUUUGAUAUAGAUAACAACAAAAAAAGCUUUUUUUUCUGCAUACUUAUCAGUACUGCGUCUUGUCCAAACAAACUGCACAGCCUACCGCGAUCAUGGUGUAUGUAUAACACUUCUUUCUACCUCAAAGAGAAAGGAGGUGUAGUUGAUGUGAAAGCAUAAAAUGCGCUAGCUAUGUCAAACACUAAGUACUGGUAUCAAUAGAUAGAGCGUGUCUCCUUAACUUAGUCAUCAAAGAAAGCACUUCGACUCUUGAUUCAAAAGAUGAUAAUCUCAAUCCUCCUAUGCUUGGAUACUUCUUUACUUCAAGCUUCUGUUCAGGAAGUCCUCCAAAUAGAGACACUAUGUACUCUUCAGUAAACACCACCCUUAUAAUGGACACUUCAUCACCCUUAACAUUAAUUCCAUACAUUACCUCAGGAAGUAUGUUAUUUGAGAAUAUGCUAUAAUUCUGCUGACAUGCAGCAAUGAGAGCACUAACAAGUUGUAUCUCUCCAUUUCUGUAUCUUAUAUCACGUUUGUGUUUGCUUUCUUGCAGUACCCAUACUAACUGUUCACCUUUUCUUCCUUCUCUGUCACUAAAGGUAGAGAACAUCUCAUCUGCAAUUCUCAUUCUAAGCAUUGAUGGCACUAUAUGAGGCUGAAACUCUUGAGACUUGUGGAAAUACUGGUGCAUAGUCCUUUAAAUAGAGAUUGUAUUGUAAGGCUUUUUUGAAUUCCACAAAUAAAUUUCAUGUGAUUUUUUACUCAUAAGUUGGACGAGAUUUCCCCUAUAAAGAUUCAAGAUGCACCUAAACCGUGCUAUAUCUUUGCUAUUACCCAUUUCUCUUUGAAGAUUGUAAAUAGGAUUGUUUGAAAGAUGAAGCAAAGGUAAACACGUGAAGAGAAUGAAUUAGCAAAUCUCAGCUCCGGAUAUCUGGAGACUACUCUGCGGCUGCAGGGGCAAAGCCUGAUUAGCUACUGGGGCGUGGCGAACUCUACUAAGAGAGUAGAGUAGAGUAAAGUAAAUUAAAGUAGGAGUCGGUCACGGGGAGUGGUUUUGUUGCCGGGGGAUGGCUGGCUGGAUGGAGCCCUCCCUGGGCACUGCCGCUUGUCCCAGCUCAGCACACACUACAUAACAACAUUCACUUACACUUACUGGUGCAUGUGUUGUGAGGCGGCUCCCCGCAUGGGCCCCAGAGCUGCUGCUGCUGCAAUCAAAGCCAAUGUUUGGAACCUCUACGAAUGCUGCCACCCCGACUCUCCCACUUCUGGCUGGCUAACUGGCUGGCUGAGGGUGGUCUGCGAGUAAGUGCACCUCUUCAUCACUAAUUCUCUCUCCCCUCCGAGACGCACGCGAACCCAGUGUCAGUCCGCCAUCCAAUACGAUGAUGAUGCAUGGAAGCGGAAGAGACCCACAGUCGUCAACUGCACGCCAUUACGGCGGUUGGAAGAUGUUCCACAAGUCGCUGACAGUCUGGUAAGGAACGGGUUUUGGAGGCGGCACAAACGCGGCCUCUGCUCCUUCAGCUGUGCGGAAGUGAGGCCAGUCAUAGAAGAGCUGGCGUGAGUUGGGGUAGGGGUUGUAUGGCAGGAGAGGGUUGUAGGAUUGGCUCGGAUGAUAGUCGAAGCUCGGGUACCGCGACACCAAAUAUUCAUAAGGAGGGUACUGGACUGCUUGAGGAGGUGGUGCUGGUGCUGGUCCUUUGGGUUUGUCCUCUUUCUUCUCCUUUCCCCCUCCCUCUUCUUUUUUCUCUUGCUUCUCCUCUUUUUUUUCCUUCUUUUCCUCCUCAUUCACUUUCUCUUCCUUUUUCUCGACCUUUACUUCCUUCUUCUUCGCCUCUGCCUUGUUCGCCUCUUCUUUGGGAGCUGGUGGGGAUGGAGGCCAGAAAUGUGCCUUUUUGUCGAUUUUCUUCGCCCUUUUCAGAACGUCGGGUGGGUAUGGUUUCCCAAUCACCGUGACUUUAUUCGAGGAGUAGUCGCACUGCACAUCUAACACUCCUGCACAGCACUAGCAUAAAUCCUCGGUGGCUUGGACCAACAUGCCAUAGAACUUCGUAAGCAUGAAUGGCAAUCCUUAUCCAUCCUUCCUCUGUAUAGUAGUUAAUCCUUCCCACUCUGUUAUUCGUACAAUCUGAGUAGUACUUUGAUGCUCACCAGGUACUUCUCUGAUUUCUUCCGAAAUAAUCUCCGCGCAUUUCAUGCAACACAUGCCCACCUUCAAAUCCAGCUUCUUCAGUCCCACCAACUGCAACGCACAAUUGCCAUUCCCAGAGUCUAAUCAACUAUUCAAUACAUUCAUUCACUUCCACGAAAAACUGGAAGCAAUUAGCUCCAUAUCUGAGCUCUUGCUGCCUACCUCAGGAAAAAGCUUCUACUCUCAGAUGCCAUUCAACUAUAGCAAGUGGCAUCUUGGUCACUUACAUACCCAGAAACGAUUAUACAAAAAUGUGCAUUUGCAGACCAUCGGAGACUACAGGCAAGGAGACGAACACAGUGCAUGAGUAGCAGAUAGAAGACAUACCGGCAUUGUCUCAGCAGGGGCAACUUUAACUGGGGCAUACCAAGAAUUGCUUUCCAGCCAAUUAGGAGGUGGACCUCCAGUGAAGUAAGUGAACACCUGCACAUGUGCACAUAUGACACAGUUCGACUUGUGUCACAGCGCCUCAACUCCAGUCCGAGCGAAACCAUUCCACACAAAAGUGCCAAUCGGGCAAUACACAACACUAUCUCACCGAGUAUGCUACAUGAGACAACUUACGUAAAACUGAAUCUAUCAAGGGUUCGAUCCAAGGAAGAAGAGUUAACUUGAGCAUCACUGUCAUCGUACCUCUUGGUUCUCCAUCCCAAUUCGUCCCAAGAGCUUGCAAUUCAACGGCUAUCCACUAAUAGCUCGACAGUAAGACGAACGUUCUGUUGGAGAUCCAAGGUUUGCCUUAAAAUUCAAUAAUCGGGUGAAAAACUUAUAAAAGCGGAUAUGGUAAGAAAAAAGAGGACAUGAGAGUAUCAGAUUAUGCAUUUCCAAAGUUUGGAGAUUAGUAUGGCCUGGCAAAGAAAAGCAUUUCCAAAUUGUAUCUAUCAUCAAAUACUGUUGGCUCGGAUUCCAUACAAUUGAAGCCACGGUAACUAGGGCUUUUUGUAACAAGCCCCGAGUCAAGAGAGAACUCCAAUCCAGCAUUAAUGACGAGAUUUCCUCACAAGCAAAACCCCAAACUCAAACUAUUCCGUAAUUCCAGCACUAGAACUUAAGCCUUUCAAAACACCCUGACACAACGUACUGCAGUCAGUCCGAACGACUGGUCGUUAAGACCGGGACAACCAUCGAAGCAGUAUGGGGACCGUGGUAAAGAUUCAAAUUGUACUGCUUUGAAGGAAGGGAAACGAUACAGUACAUCUUCAACAAGAAAUCACGCGUGCGCAUAGAUGAGAUUCCUGUGUUCGUGUAAGUUAACAUCAAGGUAAAUUAUCUGACUAACAAGCAUGAACCUGGCAGCGGGCCCGAACACGAGUGAGACCAGCAUCCAUAUCCAAACUAGUGAUAAUUUCAGCCACCAAGAUUCUUACAAGGAUCUAAACAUCACUUAGACGGAAAGCUCUCUUCCAAGUGAUGUAUCUGAGAUACAAUAUAUCGUAAAAAUACAGCACACUCUAGCAAGUCCUCAAGAUGACUCAAGUUUGCAAGGUAGUAGUUCAAACAGGUUCGUAGAGCCUGCCGCUUGCAACGAGUAGCUACUCAGACUCAGCGAAGAGAACUGGACAAAAUGAAUUGCAGCAAAGCCGACGUUGAUCAAUUUACUAGGUUAGUGAAAGAACACUCAAUCAUGCAGUCCUAGACAUCGUUAGGCGUGUGGGGAGCCCAAGUAGAGUCGGCAUCAUGGGAUUUCAGAAGCUCAGGUUGUGAUCUUACUGCUUGAGCCUAGUCUCGCUACAAGUCCCCACUGCGCUUCCAAGAUGCAAGCAAUCAAACCCCACAAACGCAAUGAGCAGAAUCCCUUGCGAAGCGGAUCCUAGCUCAAGGUUGUAACUAGAUAAUCUUGCAGUUCAAAAAACAAUCCCCGUUGGCCACAGUGGCUGUCUCAACUGCCUCAUUAAGUCCGCUUGAACCAGCUAGGAAACCAAACUUGUCGCGUCACCACCCCUACCCACAUACCAAAUAUCGCAGUUUGACUAGAAACAAAGAUGAGCAUAGAGAUAGGCUCGGAGCAAGGACGGAGCGACAGCACGCCUGAAAAGGUGAAGGAAACCGAGAACAACUGGCCAUGUGGUUUAAAAAAUUCAAAGUUGGCCUACAUACUGGACCAAGCGUUUUGCAUCAGCAGGCACCUUCUUUAUCGGCGCAAAUUAGAUCAGGCAAAUCAAUUAGAUAAUUUGAACUGGGUACUAUACGUAGCCCUCAUCAGUCUCCAGAGCUGAUAGUACAAGCUUUGGCUUGCGUAGUCGAUGUGGAGGUGAGGAGCGCCUCUUGUAACCGUGACCCGGUCAAGCAUCCACAAGGCUUGCGUCUGCAGCCUAUUCGUCUGCCGAGAUAGACGCUGCUCCUCUGCUUACUUUGUAUCGUUUAGUUUGACUGGAGGAGCACGUUCCAUUAAAUAAGAUUGCUUGAUGCUAUUUUAUCAGUUUAGACCUCCCAGAAUAGGGUAUGACGUGUGUUCCUGUGGGGGGCUAGCUGGGGACGUUAAGGUUGAACAAUAUGCACCAUGUCCUAGAAUGUUGCAUUUCUGCAUAAGUGCUGUUGACCUUACGUGUAGGUAUUCGUAUUCCUCGCGUCCUUCUAACUCCCUCACUAGUUAACUUUUAUUUUCAGGAGGCAAGUCUGUCUCGUGUGAAUGAUUUUAAAGAAGUAAUCCUUCUUUCACGAGGACAGACAUGAAUAUUACCAAGGGAUGCACUACCGACUUGGUAAUCCUGUUAGUCGAAAACUGCACGCCAACUGCUGAAACAUACAUCCUUCCAAACAGAUCCAGAUUGUAAUCAAGCACUCUCCGGCACAGUGAGACAGGCUUCAAUCACUGCAACGAUGCAGUUGAAGUGCAACCUUAAGAAUCAGAUGGCAUGGAAACUCACAUGGUGAUACGAAAUUGUCCGAAUGAUGGAAUACAUGCAUCAUGCUCUCAAAAAAAAUGCCCCCCGCAAGCUAAACUCACCACCUGUGAAGAUUGAAGUGUCAUGGUACGGUCAAACAACUCGAUAACAUAUGCAACCGAGAUAAGGUAAAAGAACCAUAAGAUUGAAUUCAGAAGUUAUUGUGAAGACAAAGCAUUGUUUUGUCUUGACGAUUUGUACCUACUUGCGCGGUCAGAGAAUUGGGGAAACUACACACACGGUAGAGCUAUUCCCUGGACAGCACGCCAAUCGCCUGGACAUAUCACACUCUAGCGAUCUCCUCAAGGCCAACCGGAGCAGCAGAGUGGCACUGAAGCCCCAGCUCCAAACUCUGCAGGGUGUGUGACCACCCUGCCUUCCUUCCUGCCUGGCUUGGUAGGUGCGUGGAUGCGGCGCAGCAGGCACACAUGCCAGCCCCCAAGUGAGGUCAAAGCCCACACAAUAGCUGUGCACCUCCUCCCCUUCUCUCCCUCCUUUGGGCACUGCAAACCCACAGCUGCACGCAUUCCAUUCGGGCGGAGGAACCGAGGAAUGCAUCAAUAAAUUCUAGGUGGAUGAAAAGAUGGAUGAAUGAGUGCCGGAAGCCAGGAACUGCACCACUGCCUACCCCAGAGAAUGGAAUGGAAAGUAUACAUGUAUGUGUAUAUAUAUAUAUAUAUAUAUAUAUUCAAAGAAUUGAUAUUGCUACACCUUAACUAACACCUGCCACAACUGGGUGGGGGUACCAGAUAGGUGAAGCACCUCCUUGCAGUGAUCAAUGAGUGGGGUUGAGAGGUAGUGCCUCUUCGGGGUCUUGCAAACAAAACUCCCCAAAAGAUUAUUAUUUUUGGAUUCUGUUUCUAAAACCCAAUUUGAAUUGUAGAGGCUCUUUUUUGAAACCCCAGUUUCCAGAAUUGUCUUUUUCUUGAUUUUUUUUUUUUUUUUUUUUUUUUUUUUUAAUACUUGCCAAGGUAUUAUUGCUAUAUUAAAGUCCAUGAUUAAGUGAUGUGCUAAGGCAAUGAGAGUGAGAACAAGCUACAAAAAUGGACAUAGAAUAAGGUAGAAAAUUGAAGAUAGAAGAAGAUAGAGAAUAGUAAAAAGAACAAGUAACAUAAAUUAUCCUCUUAAUAGCCAAUAUAAUUCACUCAAAUAUUUCAUCACUAACAUUCGAUAAUUUGCACUUUCCUAUAGUUACAUCAUUGUUAAGAAGCAAUCAAUAUGCAACAACAAAGUUUGGUUCAAAUGUGACAAGGAGGGAGAAAGGGGAAGGAGGGUGGUAUAUUGGCAAAAGUAAAAUUGGAUGUGGUGCCAACAAACUAACUUCACCAAUUGCCUCUUUAAAGCUAUUACAUGAUAUAAUAAAAUAUUAGAAAAAUAAGUGUGCUUAGUAAAAAUUGGCAUAUACAAUCAUCCAAAGACAAUAGAUAUGUCUACUCAUCUUAUAAUAUACCACUUUAGUCCUUGUAUGUACAUGUGUGUCUGGAGUCUUCUUGUUGCAAAAACUAGGCGAAGUAUGGUAUUAACCUCCAUUAGAAAUGAUUAUGGCAACAUGUUGGCUAUUUCAUCAAAUAUAUAUAUAUAUAUAUAUAUAUAUAUAUAUGAAUUUGACUCCAUAUGUGAUACCAAAAAAAAUUUCUUAAUACAAUUCUUUUUUGGUCAUCUAACUUCAAUUUGCUUAACUUGCAAUUAUCUUUAUGUCUUCUCAAUAGAUUGUUGCUCAAAGACUAAUAUAAUUUGUAUGUUUUUGCUACAUGUUAUGGAUGUGAUAUCACUAAAUUCUUUGAUUUUUCUUGUUUUUGAUUUUUGAAGGAAGAAAAAAAAAAUUAUACUUGGAUUUUUGAAUAAAUGCAAAAUCUUUUUGUUGAUAGAAUUAUGCCGAAGAUCCUUAUAAUUGAUUGUAAGCUUAUGCUUAUGUUUGCAUUACAAAUUAUUUUUCUUUUAACUACAAAGCUAUUUUAUAUUUGGUACAUCAAUAAGAAUAUUUUGGCAUAUUGUGUCACGCACAUACUAUCAUGAACAUACAUACUUAUUCUAGUAAUUACCUAAAUGAUUAAAUAGAAGUAAGUAAAAGUAGAUAAAAAUAAAUCAAUAUCUUCUAAAAAAAAUAUUUUUUCUUAUUAAGACAUAAGCAUAUUAGAAGUUGCAAAUUACCCUCUUCUAAACUAAUAUUGUUCUUGGUAGUUUCUUUGUUCUCAAGUCUUUUCUUCUAUUUGACUUGAGUAAUAUUCUAUAUUGUUAUUCUCGUUGUGUUCAAGCUUCAGUAUACCAAAGCAAUUAAACUAAUAGAAGUGGGUUCGAACAUGGCGAAAGACUGAUUAUAUGAAUUGGGUUUGUUAGUGUCACAAUUGACUGUACUUUGCUUAUUUGAAAUCAAUUAUCAAACUACAAAACACCAAGGCUUACUACUUCCAUCUUAAUUCAAUGCAUAAUCCAUUCUACGACUAUCAAUUCAACAAUACUUCCAUAUUCUUAUUCGUUCAUCUCCCACUUAUUCUCUUUGUGGUUUAUAUAUAUUUAAUUACUCAUCUCCAGCUUACUUAUUAUAUUCAGUUUUUCAAUUCAUCACACAGAAUUUAAUAUCUUCACUUAAUACAAUACAAUUCGAUAAUCUCAAUUCUCAAGGUCACAGAUUUUUUCCAAAAUGAUCAGUCCAAAAUUAUAUUCCACAAUAUUCUAAUCACAGUUUCAAUAAUACUUCUUUCAAUCACAAUUCUUCAUCAGAAAAUAAUAAAAGCAAAGAAAACAAAGAAAUAGGACCAAGCUAAUCCUAGCUUAUGACACUUAUAGUCUGGAUCUUGGCUUAUGACUCUCACAGUCUGGCUCUCGACUUACGACUCUUACAGUCUGACUUUGAUCUCUCUUUCUUCAACCUCUUUAUCCUACCAAAAAGAUGAUCUGUCGGCCAGCAGAUUCUAAAGGUUAUGAUCCUUUGAAUUCUUAACCAUUUAUUUCACCAACAACCUAUUGUUACCAACUAAACUGCCUAACCAUCAGUAUAAUUCUCAAGGUUAUCAAUAACCAACCAACAACUUAUCACAAAGUUUAUUUGCCUAUUUUACAUAGCCCCACUCCUAAUUGUGCAGCGUUCUCACAAACAUUAUUUAGCCUCAACUUAUAAAGACGUAGCAACGUUGGCUUCUUCAAUCAAUGGCGUUUGCUUACCACCCUUUGAAUUGGUGAUCUUCUUCUCUACUACAUCUUCGUUGUCUGCCUCGAUAUUCGAGGGUUCUUCAUCCAAACACGUCAUCAGAUCUUCAUUCAACAAAUCCAAUUCCCAUACCUGAGACUCACGUUGGUAAUUUGGUUGUUACGCUCUUCCAACAUCUUCUGCCAUUCUUCUGUCGAUUUCAAAGGUAUCUCCAAAGGUGUUGUUGCUGAAAUUGGCAUAUUAAUCCACACUAAAUUAUUGGCCUCCUUUGCUAAUGCAGCUAGUUUAGUCUGCAACAUCGCAACCUCUACCUGCAGCCACUCUUGUCGUUCCUUCCAAUCAGUCUCCAACCUUGCUUUCUCAGACACCAUGUUUGCCAUCUUCUCCUUAACCACAAAAGAAAAUAUGAUGCUUGUCAAGAGCCCCCCUCCUACUUCUUACUAUGGUCCAAUCAAUUUGAUCAAUUCUCCCUUAUUUUCCAUGAUUCGUCAUGAUGAAAUAUCCUAUCAUCAUGAUUAUUUAACCUCCCCCUUUUUAUAACAGAAAAUCUGUCCCGGAUUUAUGUAUAGUAAAGUUUAAGCCGAUUGCCAUUGAUCCGUGUCGUAAAUUUAGUAUCCAUAAAAUCUUCCAAUUGUACUGAAUCAUUUAGAAAUUCAUCAAUAACUUGAUAUGGCCCAUGCCAUUGAACUUGAAAUUUUUUUGGAAUUUUUUUAAAUUGACUAUCAUAAAGAAGUACCAAAUCAUUUGGCAUAAAAGUCUUUGGUCUAAGCUUACUAUCAUAAUAAGUCUUCCUUUAUUUUUGUGUAGUUUCCAUUAUCAUUAAUGCAUUGGCUCUAGUUUCAUCUAAUUUUUUUAAUUCUUCUAAAUGGUGCCGUAAUGAAUCCUGAUCUUCCAAUCUAUUAUUUAUAGUAAUUCGUAAACUUUGGACUUCCAAUUCAAUAGGUAAUAUUGCUUCCUGACCAUAAACCAAUUGGAAAGGGGUAGCAUUGGUAGUAACUUUAUACGCAGUAUGGUAUGCCCAUAAAGUUGCAAACAACUUAGUGUCCCAAUCUGUUCCCGCUCUUGAAACUAUUUUUAUUAAGAUUUUACAUAAAAUUCUAUUAGUCUUUUCUAUUUGUCCAUUGACUCUAGGAUGAUACGGUGUAGUCUUUCGAUGUUUUAUCUCGUAUUUAGCCAUGAGUGCUUUGAUUGUACUAUUUAUUAAAUGAGUUCUUCGAUCACUAAUCAAUUUUUGUAGACAAUCAAAUCGUGUAAUAAUAUGUUCAUACAAAAAAGUUGCUACUGUACUUGCACUAUUGGUUUUCAUAGCUACGGCUUCAACCCAUUUUAUUACAUAAUCCGUUGCUACUAGUAUAUACCAUUUUUGUUCAUUUCUCAAGGCUGGUAUAAUUGGUCCCACAAAAUCAAUUUCCCAUUUUUCAAAAGGCACUUGAGCUAGAAUUGGUACCAAUGAUAUUGUUGAAGUUCCAGUAGGUCGACCCAUUCUCUGAUAUGGGUCACAAUGAUGGACAAAUUGAUAGGCAUCUACAAACGUUGUUGGCCACCAAUAACCAGCCUGUAAAGCUUUACAAGCCAUGUUGUCCUCCACAAAAUGUCCACCACGACUAUCCAAGUGGCAACCUGCCAAUAUAGUACGCACUUCAAUCUGAUAAAUAUAGUAUCACAAAACUCCAUCCUUACCUUGUUUAUAUAAAACUUCACCAAUCAUCGUAUAAAAUGUACAUUUUAAUAUUAAGCGUUGUUUGAGCUUUUCAUUAAAAUUAGGUGGGAAGGUUUGAAAUGUCAAGUACUGAAUUAUUUCACUAUACUCUGGAGUAAUUACAUCUACCACAAACAGUUCCGCAUUGGAUAGUGCAUCAUUAAUAGAAUCAUUAUCCAAUAUAUUGGAUAACCAAGAUAAAUGGUCCGCAUUGGAAUGUGAUUUUCCUAGUCUUACCUGAAUAGUAAAAUCAAAUUCCUGUAAGAGUAAAAUCCAUCAUGCAAUACGACCACUCAAUUGAGGCUUAUUAAUCAUAUAUUUUAAAGCAUCAUGGUCAACAUGAAAAACAAAUUUAUAACCAAGAAGAUAAUGUCAAAACUUUUGUAUGGAAUAAAUCAUCCUUAAUGCUUCUCUUUCGGUUGUUGUAUAAUUUCUUUCAGUUGCUAUCAAUUGACAACUUGCAUAAUAAAUAGGGUGAUCAAAAUCUUGGUCAUCUUUUUGGCUUAGCAUAAAACCAAUCGCGACAUUAGAUGCAUCCACAUAAACUUGGAAUGAUUUUGUCCAACAAGGUGCCACCAAUAUUGGUGCUGAAACCAAUUUCUGUUUCAAUGUUUCAAAUGCAAUUGUACAUUCCUUUGUCCAAAAUAGAUUGAUUCCAUUGGUUGGUGGUUUCUUCAAGAGAUUUGGCAAAAAAAGGCAUAUAACUAUGAAUAGAUAGAUAAAUUGCCGAUAAUAAUUGAUAUGGUCGACAAAUACUUGAACACCCGUAACAGUGUCUAAUUGCUUUAAUUCUAUUAUAAUCUUUAUUUUAUCCAGAUCUAUAGCAAUGCCUGCCAUCAAAACUAUAUGAUCCAACAGUUUACCAGAAGGUACACCAAAUUGAUACUUUUUUGAAUUUAAAGAAAUUCCAUAUUUGGCACAUUGAUUUAAACAUUGACCGAGACAUUUUAAAUGCAUGGCUCUCGUACUAAAUGUAUAGAAAUCAUCUAGAAAUAUUUCCAUUGAAAUUUGUAGAUAAUCUUGGAACACUUGCAUCAUUAACCUUUGAAAUGUAGCUGGUGCAUUAUAAAGCCCAAAUGGCAUAACCUUAUAGGCAAAGGUCCCUCAAUCUGUAGUAAAAGUAGUUUUUAAUUGGUCGUCUUUUGAAAUCUUAACUUGAUUAUAACCAGAGAAUCCAUCAAGAAAUAAAUAAUAUUCAUGUCCCACGAUAACAUUCAAUAUACUAUUCGUGAAUGAUGAAGGAAAAUAAUCCUUUUUGGUAGCCGUAUUUAAUUUUAAGAAAACUUGACAAAUGUAAACUUUUCCAUUCUUUUUUGGUACCAUAACAAUUGGUAAAACCCAUUCACUGAAAGAAAGUAGAUAGAUAAAUCCAACCUCGAAGAGUUUAUCUAGUUCUUGUUUUACCAUGAGUGAGUAUUUUGGAUUAAGCCGAUGUUGUCUUUGGCAUACUAGUAUAGCAUCUUCUUCUAAUAUAAUUCGAUGCUCACAAAUUUCGGCUUGAAUUCCUUUCAAAUCCACAUACGACCAUACAAAAGUAAUUUUAUGCGUUAAAAAGUAUUCCAUCAAAAUUUCUUUCUCCUUACCUUUUAUACCGUCGUAAGUCUAAAUGAUUUGGAAAGCCUGCCUUGUACCUAAAUUAAUUGAUUGAAAUCAUGGAAUUUCAGGAGUUACUAGAAUAAUAUUCUGCUCAAUUCAAAAAUCUUUCAUAAAAUCCGACACAUUAGAACUUUUUAACUCCAGUUCCAUAGCACUAACAUAAUUAACAUCCUGUCUAUUCAUCCAAUAUUCAAUCAUAUGAUCAGAAUCAUCAAUAACAUCUGGAGGAACUAAGUACUCUUUCGAUCCCAUGCACUGAUAUUUUAUUCUAGUGUGCUCAAUAACUUGCCUUACAUCAACAUAAAUUGGGUCAGAUGCACCAAUUUCUUCUUCUGUAGAACAAUCUUUACAAUUCGACAAGAAAUCUGAAGUGACAACGUGAUAUUGGACAGGGUACAUUUGCAGCACAAUUUUAUCAUUACCUUUCUCAAUCGUCAAUGUACCAAGGCCUCAGUCAUUUUGAGCUUUAAUUUGAUACAACUACGAUCGCUCCAAUAAAAUUGGAUAUAACAAUAUAGAGCUUUACAAUCAAAAAAUAAUAUAAUAAAUUUUAUAGGUAAUCCCCAUAAUUACUGUAUCAAUACUUCGUAAAAUAUCCAUAAGUUUAACUUGACUAGAAUCAGCCAUUCUCAAAACUACUGUAGUAGGCAAUAAGUGAUCCAAACCCAAUUCUUCUAUUGUAGCAACAUUCAUAAGAUUUACACUAGAUCCUCCGUCUACUUGCACUCCCGAUAAUAAUACUCCAUCAAUUGAGACAUCAAUCAUUGAUGCACCCAGAUCAGGAUUCAAACUUACUUCUUGGAUUUCUUUAUUUCAAGAUUUGCAAUGAAUUAAUGAGGAAUUCAAGAUACUUCAGCACUCAUGUGCUACUACUAAUAGUUGCUUCAUAGAAAUAGUGGAUUGUAUGGUACCCAGAUCUUUUAGAAUAUUAUAUGGUUCUGUAUUAGUCAUAAUUUCCAAUGUCCGUUUCUUCUUCUUAGUCCUAGAUAUCGAUGCAGAUAAAUUGAUUUUUUCUAUAUUAAAAAUUGGUAAAGCUAUUAGAAUUGAAUUUGAUGGAGCUUGUAAAAUUGGUUCUUUCAAUGGGUAAGAUUCUUCUCCCAAUUGGACUGAUAUUGAUUCCUUAGAAUUCAUGCCUCUAAGAGGAUCUUUCAACAAAAAAGACGUUUUUUAAAACUGUGUAGAGAACGGAACAGCUUGAUACCAAACCAAAGCCUUCGUAAUUGGUACCUCAUUGGGAUGCAUAACCGAUUCAGGUCUUAUAUUGAGUAAGGAGCCUAUGUCAGGACCUGGAUUGGAUGGCCCCAUAAUUGGGUCCAAUUGGCCCUUUACUUCAAUAUCACCCAAAUAUUGAAUUGGUUUUUUUUUUUCUUUUGCUGACUAUUUGUAAGGAUAGCUUGGACUACUUCUAUUUGAUGGAUUGGUGAAUCUUGAGGACUUUGAUUUAUCUCCUCCAUUGUUCUUUGGCUUUGGAUCUGCUGAUCUCGAUUAUUGAAAUUGAAUGGAGCAUUACAUUGCUAAAAAGUAUGUCCCGACUGCUUGCAAUUUGUACAUACCAGUGCAUAAUCAUCACUGGCUCUGGGAUUGGGACAUUCUUUGGCAUAAUGACCAAUCUGUCUGCAACGAAAAUAAUGAAGUGGUCUUCUUGCACCUCCAUCUGGCAUAUUAGAUGUCUCCAUUGAUAUAUACCUACUAAGCUUGUUCCAUAUAGGAUUAGAAAAUGAUCCUGCUUGUCCAGUUGGUACGGAGGAUAUUUGGUUCAAUGACGUCGGUGGAGCAUAUUGUUGAUACCUCUGUUACUCCUUCUUGUAGUUCUGGGAGUUUGAUACACACCUCUGAUUAAAAUUGGAACUUUGAAAGUUAUUGAAUGUUUGAUUUUGUUGAUUAGAUCGAUUUCCAUUCCAUCCAUAUGUAUUUUCCAUUUGAAUUUGAUUGACUUCCCAUUGAGUCGGUGGGAUCAUGGUCUGAUUACUGAAUUCAUGUUGCCUUUGUAAAUGACAGCAGUUUUGAGUAGGGUACUUUCCUCUGCAAAAUGUACAUUGAACAUCCAUUUGUUUGGGCGAGGGACAUUCCGUAUCCAAGUGACCUUAUUCCUUACAAUUAUUACACCAUACAUUAGGUCUCGUAUUAGAAGGCUUAUGUCAUUUUUCUUUAUGUUUAGCCAAAUUCAUGGCCAAUUCUUCCAUCUUCUUUGUUAGAUUUAAUAACAAGGCUUCAUUUGGAUCUUUAACAGUCACAUUUGUGAACAACUCCGAUUGUUGAAAGGUUGGGAAUGUAAAAUAAGGUGUCAUUCUCAUUGGCGCUAUUGCUUAAAGUGGUGUAGCAUUAAUUGGUUGUUGCAACAUAAUAUUCUUCAUGUUGGAUGCAGCCAUUUGUGGAUAAUUAUCCAUCGAUAUAUUUUUGAGUUGUAUUUGUUGGCUUCCUGAACUUCGAAUCGUCGUGGCCCCCAUUGUUAACAAUUGGUCAUAAUGACAUUCUUUCCACACCUUUGCUUGUAUCAAUGAUGCCCCUACCGUAGCUGGUUGAGCCUCUUUUACAAAAAUUUUCAAUUUUGGUGGAUGCAAACCAUUGAUUAAUAUCGACACUAUAGAUACAUUUGACAUUUGAUUAUUUGUGCAUUUAUGAAGUAUAUCUGUGACCCGACCAUAAUAGGACUCCACUGAUUCCCUCGCAAAUAUUUUGCUAUUCAUAGAACUUUCUCCAAGCGGAUUUUCAAAUCUAAUUUGUCUAAAAUGGGUUAGGAAGGCAUUCCUCAAGGCCUCCCAAUUGGAAAAUCUACCUGCUAGUUGCCGAAUAUACCAUUCAAAAGCUAUAUCUUUUAAAGUUACUGGCAACCAUCUCAACCAAAUGUCUUCAAUUCUACCAUUAUUAGCCACGCAGGCUGUCAAGAAUUGAGAUAUAUGGUGAUCGGGAUCAAAGCCCGACCAACCACUAAAAGUAGGUAAUGGUGCCACACUUGUAGUUCGAUCUUCUACUGCUUCUAUUUGUACUGCAAUUGAUACUUCUGGCACUCCUACGGCCAUUGGUGUUAUCACUAGUCUCCUUGCUAUUUGAAUUUGAAUUUUUCUUCCUUUGGUUUUACUUGGACGUACAAUUCCUUUUUGUCAUUCCCAUAGGAGAUUUCUUAAGCGUAAUCGCUCCUGUCUUUCUUUCACUUAUCGAUUAAUUCUUUGAUAAUCCUCCUCUUUAUGAUUAUCACUCAUAAUCUUUUAUUCUUCUUUACAAAAUCAAUACUGCCUUGAAUUAUAACUCACAUAUUUGUAACCCUAAAACUGGUUCUUUUCAUGUUCUCAUUCAACAUAUAACUCCAUCUUCCAUACAAUCAAUUUCUAACAUUUCAUAUUGUUAUCAUUUCUCUGGUAGUAGCGCCAAAAUGUUGUUCUCAUUGUGUUCAAGCUUCAGUAUACCAAAGCAAUUAAACUAAUAGAAGUGGGUUCGAACAUGGCGAAAGACUGAUUAUAUGAAUUGGGUCUGUUAGUGUCACAAUUGACUGUACUUUGCUUAUUUGAAAUCAAUUAUCAAACUACAAAACACCAAGGCUUACUACUUCCAUCUUAAUUCAAUGCAUAAUCCAUUCUACGACUAUCAAUUCAACAAUACUUCCAUAUUCUUAUUCGUUCAUCUCCCACUUAUUCUCUUUGUGGUUUAUAUAUAUUUAAUUACUCAUCUCUAGCUUAUUUAUUAUAUUCGGUUUUUCAAUUCAUCACACAGAAUUUAAUAUCUUCACUUAAUACAAUACAAUUCGAUAAUCUCAAUUCUCAAGGUCACAGAUUUUUUCCAAAAUGAUCAGUUCAGAAUCAUAUUCUACAAUAUUCUAAUCAUAGUUUCAACAAUACUUCUUUCAAUCACAAUUCUUCAUCAGAAAAUAAUAAAAGCAAAGAAAACAAAGAGGUAGUACCAAGCUUACCCUGGCUUACGACUCUGACAGUCUGGCUCUGAUCUCUCUUUCUUCAACCUCUUUAUCCUACCAAAAAGAUGAUCCGUCGGCCAGCAGAUUCUAAAGGUUAUGAUCUUUUGAAUUCUUAACCAUUUAUUCCACUAACAACCUACUGUUACCAAGUAAACUACCUAACCAUCAGUGUAAUUCUCAAGGUUAUCAAUAACCAACCAGUAACUUAUCACAAAGUUCAUUUGCCUAUUCUACAUAUAUCUUAUCUUUUCUAAGUGUUAUCAUGGCAUAGCUUUUUAAAAUAAAGAAUAUAAUAGUUCAAAUGUAAGAGCAAUUAAAAAAAAUUAAUGCUUGCAAUGCAUCAAUUGAAGAUACCAUUAUAAGGAGCAAUAAGAAUGGUAAGGAACAAAGAUAUAAAGAUGAUUAGACUUGCUUCAACAUUUGUACUAAAUCAUGUUCUUUCUCUUAUGAUAGAAUAUCCUUUCACUAUUAGAAAAUGAAAGAUUGUAUUGCUUGAGAAGUUUAAUAGCACAAGAUCUAAGUUUCAAGAAUUUAUGAAUCAAGUAUAAUUUGUGAUUGAACUGCAACUCCAAAGCUAUCUAACUCCAAGAUUGCAAGUUAGAUUAAUUAAUAUACUUCUUCAACGUUGAGUAUUACUAUGAUUUUCAUCUUUUUUUGAACAACAAAAUCCAAUAUUAGAUAAUCUAAAGCCUUUUUUAAUGGAAUUUUGAUCCAUAUAUAGAGAAUAUAAUACAAUUUAUAUUGCAGCCAACAAGAUCCAUAUUUUGCAACAAGGCAAUUAAUUAGUAAUAUUAUAUGCUAUAUAUUUUUUGUAAUGGAGUAUGAAUAAGAUAUUUAUAUUAUUAUCAAAUAGAAAUAGGUAAUUAGAGCCAUGUUUAGAAAGUUUUUAGAAGUUUUCAGAAUUAAGGCUAAAUUGGUGGUCUAUGUCAAAUAUUUUAGAAAGAACUUAGGGUGAUUAUUUAUGUAAAAUUGAUCAUUAAGAACAUUUUAUAAGGUUCCAAGAUGGUUGGACAAAGUAUAAAUAAGAUUGAUCAAGGUCAUUUGGAUAUCUGAUUAGAUAUGGCUUCACUUUCUUUUUUUUAAUCAAGUUUGAUUUUGUACUUUUCAAUUCAAUUUUGUUUUAUUUUGUUUUAUUUUUUUUUUCCUUUCAUAUUCUAUUGUAUUUAGUUUUAUUCAAUUUUAUUGGGAUCUAUAUUUUCCUACAUUGUGAAGGAAUUUAAAUUACUAUAGAUUGAAAAGAGUCAAGGACAUGAAUCUCAAAGAAAGAAAAUCGUCAAUAUACUCUUAUGUCAAUGAAGAGAACUAGAAAGUUACUCAAAAGGUGAGAUAAUAUUAAAUUAGAAUGCCUAUUGCUUAAAAAAAAAAAAGACUAAAAAGUCUUGAAAUAAGAUUAAAGGCUAAAAAGGCCUUAAUAAGAGUGAAGAAGGCUUCAUUCUUCUUUCCUAUACUCUUAACUAGGAGCUACAUUGCAAUGUCAUAUAAGACCUCAAAAACGUGUCGACUUUGCAAGAAAUGUAUCUUAACUUACAAGGCAAGUUUUUUAUAUGUGCGCCACGUAAUUAACUUAUUCUACAAGCUACCAACACAUGAUUAGCUUGUUGACUAAGUUUCUAACCUACCAAUCAAUUAUAAAUACAUGUAAAGUCGAACAACAUCUAUGAAGCUUUUAGGAAGCUUCUCUAAAAGGUCUUAUGAAAUUAACUUACUUUUAUGUAAUUUUAUCUAUGUAUAUUCAUAAAAUUACCUCUCCUUUCUAAGUGCAAGUUCCACAACAAGCAGUCUUCAUGUAUUGAAGAAGUUUAAGGUGUGGCAAAUUAUCUUUGCUACAUAUUCCGAUCUUUGCUCUCUUCAAAGAUGGUUGAUAGGUCCUUUCAGCCAUCAAUUGUGUCCCAUAGUAGGACGAGAAGACCACGUGAUAUUUGGUCAUUAUUGAGGCCUUCAUAACUUCUUUCGAAUAAAAUAUUUGAAAUACCAUCAAGAGUUGUUCCGACCUUUAAUAAAAUCACCAAACAUUAGAAGUUUCUUCUGAGGUCACCAUAUCAAACAC